rnacentral:lncRNA from 1 species
UGGAGUGAAUGAUAUCGGCUUGGUCCUGGGCCGAGACCCUGGGCCGCUCUGUGGCGUGCGGCCAUCACUGGGGUCCGGUGGCGAGCAGGGGACAGGGCUGUAGUGGAACUGCGCGUCCUCGUGUGCCACUCGUGGGCUCCUGAACGGACUUGGUGUCCCGCUCCAGACUGACUCAUAAAGCAAGUCUUCCUGCCGAGGUGCCAAGGUCUUCAAUUCUUAUCCAGCUGGAAAGUGAGGCAGCUUCUCAUUACUCUCCGUUGAGCGGGACACAAGAGGCUCCGUCCUGGGUUAGCAUGCAGAGACGGAGAGGAAGAACAGAGAGGUGAAUGAGAGCUGCAGAUCUGAAUUUAUAGAGCUAAGAAAAUGGCUGAAAGAGAGGAAGUUUGAAGAUACAGGCUUAUUAGUACCUGCCUGCUUUCCAGGUGGAAGCCUCCGGUGUCUCCUCUGCUGGCUUUGUGUACCUUUUUGGUCUCAGAAAGACAUGCAGGCAGUCAUUCCCUCUGGAAGUCUUACCUGGACAUUUUACCCAAGUCAUAUACCUGCCCGGUGUGCUUGGAGCCAGAAGUGGUGGAUCUUCUUCCGGGACCUUUGAGGGCGAAGGCGGAAGAGCAGAGAGCCCGCGUGCAGGAUUUGUUUGCCUCCUCUAGAGACUUCUUCUCUACCCUGCAGCCUCUGUUUGCAGAGUCUGUGGACAGCAUUUUCAGCUACCAUGCCUUCCUCUGGGCCUGGUGCACAGUGAACACCAGAGCUGUGUACCUGAAGUCUAGGAGGCAGGAGUGCCUUUC